UACGGAGGGUGCAAGCGUUGUUCGGAAUCACUGGGCGUAAAGCGCGUGUAGGCGGCUAUCUAAGUCUGAUGUGAAAGCCCGGGGCUCACCCCCGGAAGUGCAUUGGAAACUGGUGGACUCGAGUCCCGGAGAGGAGAGUGGAAUUCCGUGGUGUAGCGGUGAAAUGCGUAGAUAUCAGGAGGAACACCGGUGGCGAAGGCGGCUCUCUGGACGGUGACUGACGCUGAGACGGCGAAAGCGUGGGGAGCAAACAGG
rnacentral:rRNA from 1 species